CGUUCUGUAAGCCUGCGAAGGUGACCUGUGAGGGUUGCUGGAGGUAUCAGAAGUGCGAAUGCUGACAUAAGUAACGAUAAAGCGGGUGAAAAGCCCGCUCGCCGGAAGACCAAGGGUUCCUGUCCAACGUUAAUCGGGGCAGGGUGAGUCGACCCCUAAGGCGAGGCCGAAAGGCGUAGUCGAUGGGAAACAGGUUAAUAUUCCUGUACUUGGUGUUACUGCGAAGGGGGGACGGAGAAGGCUAUGUUAGCCGGGCGACGGUUGUCCCGGUUUAAGCAUGUAGGCUGGUUAUCCAGGCAAAUCCGGAUAAUCAAGGCUGAGGUGUGAUGACGAGGCACUACGGUGCUGAAGUAACAAAUGCCCUGCUUCCAGGAAAAGCCUCUAAGCAUCAGGUAACAUCAAAUCGUACCCCAAACCGACACAGGUGGUCAGGUAGAGAAUACCAAGGCGCUUGAGAGAACUCGGGUGAAGGAACUAGGCAAAAUGGUGCCGUAACUUCGGGAGAAGGCACGCUGGUGUGUAGGUGAAGUCCCUGCGGAUGGAGCUGAGACCAGUCGAAGAUACCAGCUGGCUGCAACUGUUUAUUAAAAACACAGCACUGUGCAAACACGAAAGUGGACGUAUACGGUGUGACGCCUGCCCGGUGCCGGAAGGUUAAUUGAUGGGGUUAUCCGUAAGGAGAAGCUCUUGAUCGAAGCCCCGGUAAACGGCGGCCGUAACUAUAACGGUCCUAAGGUAGCGAAAUUCCUUGUCGGGUAAGUUCCGACCUGCACGAAUGGCGUAAUGAUGGCCAGGCUGUCUCCACCCGAGACUCAGUGAAAUUGAACUCGCUGUGAAGAUGCAGUGUACCCGCGGCAAGACGGAAAGACCCCGUGAACCUUUACUAUAGCUUGACACUGAACAUUGAGCCUUGAUGUGUAGGAUAGGUGGGAGGCUUUGAAGCGUGGACGCCAGUCUGCGUGGAGCCAACCUUGAAAUACCACCCUUUAAUGUUUGAUGUUCUAACGUGGGCCCCUAAUCGGGGUUGCGGACAGUGUCUGGUGGGUAGUUUGACUGGGGCGGUCUCCUCCCAAAGCGUAACGGAGGAGCACGAAGGUUAGCUAAUCCUGGUCGGACAUCAGGAGGUUAGUGCAAUGGCAUAAGCUAGCUUGACUGCGAGCGUGACGGCGCGAGCAGGUGCGAAAGCAGGUCAUAGUGAUCCGGUGGUUCUGAAUGGAAGGGCCAUCGCUCAACGGAUAAAAGGUACUCCGGGGAUAACAGGCUGAUACCGCCCAAGAGUUCAUAUCGACGGCGGUGUUUGGCACCUCGAUGUCGGCUCAUCACAUCCUGGGGCUGAAGUAGGUCCCAAGGGUAUGGCUGUUCGCCAUUUAAAGUGGUACGCGAGCUGGGUUUAGAACGUCGUGAGACAGUUCGGUCCCUAUCUGCCGUGGGCGCUGGAGAAUUGAGGGGGGCUGCUCCUAGUACGAGAGGACCGGAGUGGACGCAUCACUGGUGUUCGGGUUGUCAUGCCAAUGGCACUGCCCGGUAGCUAAAUGCGGAAGAGAUAAGUGCUGAAAGCAUCUAAGCACGAAACUUGCCCCG
rnacentral:rRNA from 1 species